rnacentral:rRNA from 1 species
ACCUACGGGGGGCAGCAGUGGGGGAUAUUGCACAAUGGGGGAAACCCUGAUGCAGCGACGCCGCGUGAGUGAAGAAGUAUUUCGGUACGUAAAGCUCUAUCAGCAGGGAAGAAUAAUGACGGUACCUGACUAAGAAGCCCCGGCUAACUACGUGCCAGCAGCCGCGGUAAUACGGAGGAUGCGAGCGUUAUCCGGAUUUAUUGGGUUUAAAGGGUGCGUAGGCGGACAGUCAAGUCAGCGGUAAAAAUGCUGUGCUCAACGCCGUACAGCCGUUGAAACUGGCAGUCUUGCGUGGGCGAGAAGUA